UGAGCAAAGCCCAAGGGAAGUAGAGCCCAGU
rnacentral:piRNA from 1 species